CCAAAAAUGUKGGGUAACCCCCCUCCUUUGCAA
rnacentral:tRNA from 1 species